rnacentral:miRNA from 1 species
AUUGGGAGCAUUUUGCAUCCAU